rnacentral:rRNA from 1 species
GAUGAACGCUGGCGGCGUGCUUAACACAUGCAAGUCGAACGGGAAUUACUUUAUUGAAACUUCGGUCGAUUUAAUUUAAUUCUAGUGGCGGACGGGUGAGUAACGCGUGGGUAACCUGCCUUAUACAGGGGGAUAACAGUCAGAAAUGACUGCUAAUACCGCAUAAGCGCACAGAGCUGCAUGGCUCGGUGUGAAAAACUCCGGUGGUAUAAGAUGGACCCGCGUUGGAUUAGCUAGUUGGUGAGGUAACGGCCCACCAAGGCGACGAUCCAUAGCCGGCCUGAGAGGGUGAACGGCCACAUUGGGACUGAGACACGGCCCAGACUCCUACGGGAGGCAGCAGUGGGGAAUAUUGCACAAUGGGGGAAACCCUGAUGCAGCGACGCCGCGUGAAGGAAGAAGUAUCUCGGUAUGUAAACUUCUAUCAGCAGGGAAGAAAAUGACGGUA